AAUGCUGACAUGAGUAACGAUAAUGGGAGUGAAAAACUCCCACGCCGGAAGACCAAGGGUUCCUAUCCCAUGUUAAUCAGGGUAGGGUAAGUCGACCCCUAAGGCGAGGCCGAAAGGCGUAGUCGAUGGGAAACAGAUUAAUAUUUCUGUACUCGAUAUAAUUGCGAUGGGGGGACGGAGCAGGCUAAGCAAGCAUAGCGUUGGUAGUCUAUGUGAAAGUGAGUAGGGCGUUUGUUUAGGUAAAUCCGGACAAACAUUAAACCUGAGACACGAGACGAGUCACUACGGUGAUGAAGUUGCUGAUGCCAUACUUCCAGGAAAAGCCUCUAAGCUUCAGAUUAUAUGGAAUCGUACCCCAAACCGACACAGGUGGCCAGGUAGAGAAUACUAAGGCG
rnacentral:rRNA from 1 species